rnacentral:rRNA from 1 species
GACGAACGCUGGCGGCGUGCUUAACACAUGCAAGUCGAACGGAAAGGCCUCUUUCGGGGGGUACUCGAGUGGCGAACGGGUGAGUAACACGUGAGUAACCUGCCCUUGACUUUGGGAUAACUUCAGGAAACUGGGGCUAAUACCGGAUAGGAGCUCCUGCUGCAUGGUGGGGGUUGGAAAGUUUCGGCGGUUGGGGAUGGACUCGCGGCUUAUCAGCUUGUUGGUGGGGUAGUGGCCUACCAAGGCUUUGACGGGUAGCCGGCCUGAGAGGGUGACCGGCCACAUUGGGACUGAGAUACGGCCCAGACUCCUACGGGAGGCAGCAGUGGGGAAUAUUGCACAAUGGGUGGAAGCCUGAUGCAGCAACGCCGUGUGCGGGAUGACGGCCUUCGGGUUGUAAACCGCUUUCGCUCAUGACGAAGCUUUGUGUGACGGUAGUGGGUAAAGAAGCACCGGCUAACUACGUG